rnacentral:rRNA from 1 species
GACGAACCGUGCGAACGUUAUUCGGAAUCACUGGGCUUAAAGCGCGUGUAGGCGGGCCGCCGCGUCGGUUGCUGAAAUCCCCCGGCUCAACCGGGGAACGGGCAGCGAUACGGGCAGCCUGGAGGGGGGUAGGGGGGGCCGGAACUCACGGUGGAGCGGUGAAAUGCGUUGAGAUCGUGAGGAACGCCCGUGGCGAAAGCGGGCCCCUGGACCUUUACUGACGCUGAGACGCGAAAGCUAGGGGAGCGAACGGG